GACGAACGCUGGCGGCGCGCUUAACACACGCAAGUCGAACGGAAGGGCCCUGCUUUUGUGGGGUGCUCGAGUGGCGAACGGGUGAGUAACACGUGAGUAACCUGCCCUUGACUUUGGGAUAACUUCAGGAAACUGGGGCUAAUACCGGAUAGGAGCUCCUGCUGCAUGGUGGGGGUUGGAAAGUUUCGGCGGUUGGGGAUGGACUCGCGGCUUAUCAGCUUGUUGGUGGGGUAGUGGCUUACCAAGGCUUUGACGGGUAGCCGGCCUGAGAGGGUGACCGGCCACAUUGGGACUGAGAUACGGCCCAGACUCCUACGGGAGGCAGCAGUGGGGAAUAUUGCACAAUGGGCGGAAGCCUGAUGCAGCAACGCCGCGUGCGGGAUGACGGCCUUCGGGUUGUAAACCGCUUUCGCCUGUGACGAAGCGUGAGUGACGGUAAUGGGUAAAGAAGCACCGGCUAACUACGUG
rnacentral:rRNA from 1 species